GGGUUGUGAGGUUAAGCGACUAAGCGUACACGGUGGAUGCCCUGGCAGUCAGAGGCGAUGAAGGACGUGCUAAUCUGCGAUAAGCGUCGGUGAGGUGAUAUGAACCGUUAUAACCGGCGAUUUCCGAAUGGGGAAACCCAGUGUGUUUCGACACACUAUCAUUAACUGAAUCCAUAGGUUAAUGAGGCGAACCGGGGGAACUGAAACAUCUAAGUACCCCGAGGAAAAGAAAUCAACCGAGAUUCCCCCAGUAGCGGCGAGCGAACGGGGAGGAGCCCAGAGCCUGAAUCAGUGUGUGUGUUAGUGGAAGCGUCUGGAAAGGCGCGCGAUACAGGGUGACAGCCCCGUACACAAAAAUGCACAUAUUGUGAGCUCGAUGAGUAGGGCGGGACACGUGGUAUCCUGUCUGAAUAUGGGGGGACCAUCCUCCAAGGCUAAAUACUCCUGACUGACCGAUAGUGAACCAGUACCGUGAGGGAAAGGCGAAAAGAACCCCGGCGAGGGGAGUGAAAAAGAACCUGAAACCGUGUACGUACAAGCAGUGGGAGCCUCUUAAUGGGGUGACUGCGUACCUUUUGUAUAAUGGGUCAGCGACUUAUAUUCUGUAGCAAGGUUAACCGAAUAGGGGAGCCGAAGGGAAACCGAGUCUUAACUGGGCGUUAAGUUGCAGGGUAUAGACCCGAAACCCGGUGAUCUAGCCAUGGGCAGGUUGAAGGUUGGGUAACACUAACUGGAGGACCGAACCGACUAAUGUUGAAAAAUUAGCGGAUGACUUGUGGCUGGGGGUGAAAGGCCAAUCAAACCGGGAGAUAGCUGGUUCUCCCCGAAAGCUAUUUAGGUAGCGCCUCGUGAAUUCAUCUCCGGGGGUAGAGCACUGUUUCGGCAAGGGGGUCAUCCCGACUUACCAACCCGAUGCAAACUGCGAAUACCGGAGAAUGUUAUCACGGGAGACACACGGCGGGUGCUAACGUCCGUCGUGAAGAGGGAAACAACCCAGACCGCCAGCUAAGGUCCCAAAGUCAUGGUUAAGUGGGAAACGAUGUGGGAAGGCCCAGACAGCCAGGAUGUUGGCUUAGAAGCAGCCAUCAUUUAAAGAAAGCGUAAUAGCUCACUGGUCGAGUCGGCCUGCGCGGAAGAUGUAACGGGGCUAAACCAUGCACCGAAGCUGCGGCAGCGACGCUUAUGCGUUGUUGGGUAGGGGAGCGUUCUGUAAGCCUGCGAAGGUGUGCUGUGAGGCAUGCUGGAGGUAUCAGAAGUGCGAAUGCUGACAUAAGUAACGAUAAAGCGGGUGAAAAGCCCGCUCGCCGGAAGACCAAGGGUUCCUGUCCAACGUUAAUCGGGG
rnacentral:rRNA from 1 species